rnacentral:rRNA from 1 species
GACGAACGCUGGCGGCGUGCCUAAUACAUGCAAGUAGAACGCUGAAGGAGGAGCUUGCUCUUCUGGAUGAGUUGCGAACGGGUGAGUAACGCGUAGGUAACCUGCCUGGUAGCGGGGGAUAACUAUUGGAAACGAUAGCUAAUACCGCAUAACAGUAGAUGUUGCAUGACAUUUGCUUAAAAGGUGCAAUUGCACCACUACCAGAUGGACCUGCGUUGUAUUAGCUAGUUGGUGGGGUAACGGCUCACCAAGGCGACGAUACAUAGCCGACCUGAGAGGGUGAUCGGCCACACUGGGACUGAGACACGGCCCAGACUUCUACGGGAGGCAGCAGUAGGGAAUCUUUGGCAAUGGACGGAAGUCUGACCGAGCAACGCCGCGUGAGUGAAGAAGGUUUUCGGAUCGUAAAGCUCUGUUGUAAGGGAAGAACGAGUGUGAGAGUGGAAAGUUCACACUGUGACGGUAUCUUACCAGAAAGGGACGGCUAACUACGUG